AGUGAACGCUGGCGGUAGGCCUAACACAUGCCAGUCGAACGGCAGCACAGUAAGAGCUUGCUCUUACGGGUGGCGAGUGGCGGACGGGUGAGGAAUACAUCGGAAUCUACUUUUUCGUGGGGGAUAACGUAGGGAAACUUACGCUAAUACCGCAUACGACCUACGGGUGAAAGCAGGGGAUCUUCGGACCUUGCGCGAUUGAAUGAGCCGAUGUCGGAUUAGCUAGUUGGCGGGGUAAAGGCCCACCAAGGCGACGAUCCGUAGCUGGUCUGAGAGGAUGAUCAGCCACACUGGAACUGAGACACGGUCCAGAUUCCUACGGGAGGCAGCAGUGGGGAAUAUUGGACAAUGGGCGCAAGCCUGAUCCAGCCAUACCGCGUGGGUGAAGAAGGCCUUCGGGUUGUAAAGCCCUUUUGUUGGGAAAGAAAAGCAGCAGGUUAAUACCCCGCUGUUCUGACGGUACCCAAAGAAUAAGCACCGGCUAACUUCGUG
rnacentral:rRNA from 1 species